rnacentral:rRNA from 1 species
UACGGAGGGGACUAGCGUUGUUCGGAAUUACUGGGCGUAAAGCGCACGUAGGCGGAUUUGUAAGUCAGGGGUGAAAUCCCGGGGCUCAACCCCGGAACUGCCUUUGAUACUGCAAAUCUCGAGUCCGGAAGAGGUGAGUGGAAUUCCUAGUGUAGAGGUGAAAUUCGUAGAUAUUAGGAAGAACACCAGUGGCGAAGGCGGCUCACUGGUCCGGUACUGACGCUGAGGUGCGAAAGCGUGGGGAGCAAACAGGG